rnacentral:tRNA from 1 species
GCAGUGGUGGUUUAAUGGUGGGAUUCUUGCCUUCCAUGCACAAGACCCGGGUUCGAUUCCCAGCCAAUGCA